AUUGAACGCUGGCGGCAGGCUUAACACAUGCAAGUCGAGCGGGGGAAGGUAGCUUGCUACCGGACCUAGCGGCGGAUGGGUGAGUAAUGCUUAGGAAUCUGCCUAUUAGUGGGGGACAACAUCUCGAAAGGGAUGCUAAUACCGCAUACGUCCUACGGGAGAAAGCAGGGGAUCUUCGGACCUUGCGCUAAUAGAUGAGCCUAAGUCGGGUUAGCUAGUUGGGGGGGUAAAGGCCUACAAAGGCGACGAUCUGUAGCGGGUCGGAGAGGAUGAUCCGCCACACUGGGACUGAGACACGGCCCAGACUCCUACGGGAGGCAGCAGUGGGGAAUAUUGGACAAUGGGGGGAACCCUGAUCCAGCCAUGCCGCGUGUGUGAAGGAGGCCUUAUGGUUGUAAAGCACUUUAAGCGAGGAGGAGGCUACUUUAGUUAAUACCUAGAGAUAGUGGACGUUACUCGCAGAAUAAGCACCGGCUAACUCUGUGCCAGCAGCCGCCGUAA
rnacentral:rRNA from 1 species